rnacentral:rRNA from 1 species
UACGAGGGGGGGCGAGCGUUGUUCGGAAUUAUUGGGCGUAAAGGGUGCGUAGGCGGUUUGGUAAGUCUGAUGUGAAAUCUAUGGGCUCAACUCAUAGUCUGCAUCGGAAAACUGCCGGGCUUGAGUGUGGGAGAGGUGAGUGGAAUUCCUGGUGUAGCGGUGAAAUGCGUAGAUAUUUCGCAAGAACACCAGUGGCGAAGGCGGCUCACUGGCCCGAUACUGACGCUGAGGCACGAAAGCGUGGGGAGCAAACAGG